GGCCGCUCCUGCUCUGACCGGCUCGACCCACCUCGUCUUGAGGACCCCCUCUCCUCCCAGCCUGGCUCCUUCCCAGGGGCCCCUCCUCCUCAGAGUCCUGCCCUGCCUGUGCCAGGCCCUCUCUGAAGCCCCUUCUCUCGAGAGCCCGAGCCUUUGUUUGCAGGCUCUUCCCUGGUCAGGCCCCCUCUCCUGUCCAGGCCCUCCCCUCCCCUGCUCAGCCCUCACCCCUCUGGCCCCUGGCCUGGCCCUGGUAGGGGCUGAUCAGGAGCCCACAAACAGCUGGCUUUAAAGAUGCUGCUAAAACUGUCUUCCAGGGGGCAGGGUCCCACAGCAACAUCCCGCCCUGCCUGACCACAUGCUCGGUAGGCCCAGGCCCACAGGUGAGAGGGCGAUGGGACUUCUGGGAAGCUGGGCUCAGUUCUCCCCCACCCAUCCACCAGCAACCCCUUUCCAAGGGCCCGGCCUGGGGGUGGCCAGACCCGUCUCAGAUGGCGCCUGACCUAAGGGGCCAGUGAGCCUGUGUGUGGCCUGGGAACCUGGUCUCCCUGCUGGGCUCCCUGGGCCAGGCGCUGCCCAGGGCUGGGCAGGCUGCAAGGCUGACGGGCUGGCCUGCCCGAGUCCAGCUGGUCCUCGGGCGUGGGAGAGGGCACCAGGCCCACAGGGGUCUGCUUCUGGUCCCUGCCACCCUUGCCAGCUUGUCCUCAGGCCUUGGCGGGCCCUUCCUCAGGGCGUCCAGGAUGAACAGGCGGGCGGCAGGGGCCCGAGCUGUGGGGCGGAGCGACCAGGAGGGUAGCUGGGCCCAAGGGAAUCACCCAGGGCAGGAUGUGGGGAGAAAGGGCUGCUUGGGGUUGACAAUGGGGGCGGAGGACGGGUGCGCAACAUCCUGUCUCAGGCUCAGAGAGAGCCUGGCAGAGGCCCCCCACUCCCGCCAGGUGGACGCAGAGGGGGAGGGCAGCCGGCAGGGAGCUGCAGAGGCCCACCAGGCUGGCUGGAGGAAGGGUUCUCCAGCCACCAAGGCUCGGGACAGGCCUCCCGCGGCCUUCCUGGGGCUGGCCCCCGGGCGGGUGGUCCAGCCCACGACCCCCAUGGUCCUGGCCCUGCAUCAAGGAAGGGAGGAGGGUGGAGAAUCUGGAGGGGCUGCCUGUUGGGUGUGGCCGAGAGGUGGGAGCGGCAGGUGGCCCAGGAGGCCCACCGGGACAUCUCUGCCCUAAGACGGGAGAGGGUGGGCUGAGGCUGGAUGGCUGGCCUCCAGCGCCUG
rnacentral:lncRNA from 1 species